CGCCUUAUACUCCUACGGGAGGUAGCAGUGGGGAAUUUUGGACAAUGGGGGCAACCCUGAUCCAGCAACGCCGCGUGAGUGAAGAAGGCCUUCGGGUUGUAAAGCUCUUUUGUCAGGGAAGAAACGGUAGUAGCUAAUAUCUAUUACCAAUGACGGUACCUGAAGAAUAAGCACCGGCUAACUACGUGCCAGCAGCCGCGGUAAUACGUAGGGUGCAAGCGUUAAUCGGAAUUACUGGGCGUAAAGCGUGCGCAGGCGGUUGUGUAAGUCAGAUGUGGAAUCCCCGGGCUCAACCUGGGAAUUGCAUUUGAGACUGCACGGCUAGAGUGUGUCAGAGGGGGGUAGAAUUCCACGUGUAGCAGUGAAAUGCGUAGAUAUGUGGAGGAAUACCGAUGGCGAAGGCAGCCCCCUGGGAUAACACUGACGCUCAUGCACGAAAGCGUGGGGAGCAAACAGGAUUAGAAACCCCGGUAGUCCACGUACCA
rnacentral:rRNA from 1 species